UACAGAGGUGGCAAGCGUUGUUCGGAAUUACUGGGCGUAAAGGGCGCGUAGGCGGCCAUCUAAGUCAGACGUGAAAUCCCCCGGCUUAACCUGGGAACUGCGUCUGAUACUGGACGGCUAGAGUAUGGGAGAGGGAUGUAGAAUUCCAGGUGUAGCGGUGAAAUGCGUAGAUAUCUGGAGGAAUACCGAUGGCGAAGGCAGCCUCCUGGGAUAACACUGACGCUCAGGCACGAAAGCGUGGGGAGCAAACAGG
rnacentral:rRNA from 1 species